CCUACUGGAGGCAGCAGUGAGGAAUAUUGGUCAAUGGGCGUGAGCCUGAACCAGCCAAGUAGCGUGAAGGAUGACUGCCCUAUGGGUUGUAAACUUCUUUUAUAAAGGAAUAACGUGUGGCACGUGUGCUUUUUUGUAUGUACUUUAUGAAUAAGGAUCGGCUAACUCCGUGCCAGCAGCCGCGGUAAUACGGAGGAUCCGAGCGUUAUCCGGAUUUAUUGGGUUUAAAGGGGGCGUAGAUGGGUUGUUAAGUCAGGUGUGAAAGUUUGCGGCUCAACCGUAAAAUUGCAAUUGAUACUGGCGGGCUUGAGUACAGUUGAGGUAGGCGGAAUUCGUGGUGUAGCGGUGAAAUGCUUAGAUAUCACGAAGAACUCCGAUUGCGAAGGCAGCUUACUAAGCUGCCACUGACAUUGAUGCUCGAAAGUGUGGGGAUCAAACAGGAUUAGAUACCCCGGUAGUC
rnacentral:rRNA from 1 species